rnacentral:rRNA from 1 species
GAUUGAACGUUGGCGGCGUGCCUAAUACAUGCAAGUCGAACGAAGACUGUAGUAAUACUGUCUUAGUGGCGAACGGGUAGUAACGCUAGGGUGACCUGCCCCGAAGUGUGGGAUAACAGUUCGAAAGAACUGCUAAUACCGCAUAAUAUCCAAGAGAUUAGACGCUUUUGGAUUAAAGGAGUAAUUCGCUUCGGGAGGGGCCCGCGUCCCAUCAGCUAAGUUGGUAAGGUAAUGGCUUACCAAGGCGAUGACGGGUAGGGGACCUGAGAGGGUGGCCCCCCACAAUGGAACUGAAACACGGUCCAUACACCUACGGGUGGCAGCAGUAGGGAAUAUUAGUAAUGGGCGAAAGCCUGAACUAGCAACGCCGCGUGUGCGAAGAAGGCCUUCGGGUUGUAAAGCACUUUUUGAGAGGAUGAGGAAGGACGGUACUCUCAGAAUAAGUCUCGGCUAACUACGUG